rnacentral:misc_RNA from 1 species
UACGUAGGGGGCAAGCGUUGUCCGGAAUUAUUGGGCGUAAAGCGCGCGCAGGCGACCUCUUAAGUCUGAUGUGAAAGCCGCGGGCUCAACCGGGUAGGGCCAUUGGAAACUGGCAGGCUAGAGUAUGGGAGAGAAGAGUGGAAUUCCACGUGUAGCGGUGAAAUGCGUAGAGAUGUGGAGGAACACCAGUGGCGAAGGCGACUCUUUGGCCUAUAACUGACGCUGAGGCGCGAAAGCGUGGGGAGCAAACAGG